rnacentral:rRNA from 1 species
GACGAACGCUGGCGGCGUGCUUAACACAUGCAAGUCGAACGGAAAGGCCCUGCUUUUGUGGGGUGCUCGAGUGGCGAACGGGUGAGUAACACGUGAGUAACCUGCCCUUGACUUUGGGAUAACUUCAGGAAACUGGGGCUAAUACCGGAUAGGAGCUCCUGCUGCAUGGUGGGGGUUGGAAAGUUUCGGCGGUUGGGGAUGGACUCGCGGCUUAUCAGCUUGUUGGUGGGGUAGUGGCUUACCAAGGCUUUGACGGGUAGCCGGCCUGAGAGGGUGACCGGCCACAUUGGGACUGAGAUACCGCCCAGACUCCUACGGGAGGCAGCAGUGGGGAAUAUUGCACAAUGGGCGGAGGCCUGAUGCAGCAACGCCGCGUGCGGGAUGACGGCCUUCGGGUUGUAAACCGCUUUCGCCUGUGACGAAGCGUGAGUGACGGUAAUGGGUAAAGAAGCACCGGCUAACUACGUG